rnacentral:rRNA from 1 species
UAACACGUAGGGGGCGAGCGUUGUCCGGAUUUAUUGGGCGUAAAGAGCUCGUAGGCGGCUUGGUAAGUCGAGUGUGAAAUCCCCGGGCUCAACCCGGGGCGGCCAUUCGAUACUGCCAUGGCUAGAGUCCGGUAGGGGAGCGUGGAAUUCCUGGUGUAGCGGUGAAAUGCGCAGAUAUCAGGAGGAACACCAGCGGCGAAGGCGGCGCUCUGGGCCGGAACUGACGCUGAGGAGCGAAAGCGUGGGGAGCAAACAGGAUUAGAUACCCUGGUAGUCCACGCUGUAAACGUUGGGCACUAGGUGUGGGGCGUUACCAACGCGUUCCGUGCCGUAGCUAACGCAUUAAGUGCCCCGCCUGGGGAGUACGGCCGCAAGGCUA